rnacentral:rRNA from 1 species
GCAUAUCAAUAAGCGGAGGAAAAGAAACCAACAGGGAUUGCCCUAGUAACGGCGAGUGAAGCGGCAACAGCUCAAAUUUGAAAUCUGGCGUCUUUGGCGUCCGAGUUGUAAUUUGCAGAGGGCGCUUUGGCAUUGGCAGCGGUCCAAGUUCCUUGGAACAGGACGUCACAGAGGGUGAGAAUCCCGUACGUGGUCGCUAGCCUUUACCGUGUAAAGCCCCUUCGACGAGUCGAGUUGUUUGGGAAUGCAGCUCUAAAUGGGAGGUAAAUUUCUUCUAAAGCUAAAUACUGGCCAGAGACCGAUAGCGCACAAGUAGAGUGAUCGAAAGAUGAAAAGCACUUUGGAAAGAGAGUUAAAAAGCACGUGAAAUUGUUGAAAGGGAAGCGCUUGCAGCCAGACUUGCCUGUAGUUGCUCAUCCGGGUUUUUACCCGGUGCACUCUUCUACGGGCAGGCCAGCAUCAGUUUGGGCGGUUGGAUAAAGGUCUCUGUCAUGUACCUCUCUUCGGGGAGAACUUAUAGGGGAGACGACAUGCAACCAGCCUGGACUGAGGUCCGCGCAUCUGCUAGGAUGCUGGCGUAAUGGCUGUAAGCGGCCCGUCUUGAAACACGGACCAAGGAGUCUAACAUCUAUGCGAGUGUUUGGGUGUCAAGCCCGAGCGCGUAAUGAAAGUGAACGGAGGUGGGAACCUUUCGGGGUGCACCAUCGACCGAUCCUGAUGUCUUCGGAUGGAUUUGAGUAAGAGCAUAGCUGUUGGGACCCGAAAGAUGGUGAACUAUGCUUGAAUAGGGUGAAGCCAGAGGAAACUCUGGUGGAGGCUCGCAGCGGUUCUGACGUGCAAAUCGAUCGUCAAAUUUGGGCAUAGGGGCGAAAGACUAAUCGAACUAUCUAGUAGCUGGUUCCUGCCG